UACGAAGGGGGCUAGCGUUGCUCGGAAUCACUGGGCGUAAAGCGCACGUAGGCGGAUUGUUAAGUCAGGGGUGAAAUCCUGGAGCUCAACUCCAGAACUGCCUUUGAUACUGGCGACCUCGAGUCCGGGAGAGGUGAGUGGAACUGCGAGUGUAGAGGUGAAAUUCGUAGAUAUUCGCAAGAACACCAGUGGCGAAGGCGGCUCACUGGCCCGGUACUGACGCUGAGGUGCGAAAGCGUGGGGAGCAAACAGG
rnacentral:rRNA from 1 species